UACGUAGGGUCCGAGCGUUGUCCGGAAUUAUUGGGCGUAAAGAGCUCGUAGGCGGUGUGUCGCGUCGGCCGUGAAAACCUGGGGCUUAACUCUGGGCUUGCGGUCGAUACGGGCAUCACUUGAGUUCGGCAGGGGAGACUGGAAUUCCUGGUGUAGCGGUGAAAUGCGCAGAUAUCAGGAGGAACACCGGUGGCGAAGGCGGGUCUCUGGGCCGAUACUGACGCUGAGGAGCGAAAGCGUGGGGAGCGAACAGG
rnacentral:rRNA from 1 species